UUACACAGGAAGCCACUCACAGUGGCCUGUGUGAGCACUUUUGUGGAGCUCGCGAGGACGUCGAUAACAUUAGGGAAACAGAAAGGCGAAUCCCCCCAGUCCUCCGUUAGGCCCAAUUAGCAGACGCCGCUGCACAAAGGAGGUGGCGCCCGCCCGCCGCUCUCGCUCGCGGCGGCGGCAUCCCCCUCAGACGCCGCGCACCCGGGUCUCACCACAGCCUCGUUUGUGGGACGAAGCCGCCAUUCCCCAAAUAGGUUGCUUUCAAGAAACGAAUAUUGGCUACAGAGAAGACUAUAUUAUCUGAGGUUGUACAUAGAAACAAAGGCAAAAUAAAAAAAAAAAAAGGAUCAUGAGGUUUGAGACCAA